rnacentral:rRNA from 1 species
AGUGAACGCUGGCGGUAGGCCUAACACAUGCAAGUCGAACGGCAGCACAGUAAGAGCUUGCUCUUACGGGUGGCGAGUGGCGGACGGGUGAGGAAUACAUCGGAAUCUACUUUUUCGGGGGGGAUAACGUAGGGAAACUUACGCUAAUACCGCAUACGACCUACGGGUGAAAGCAGGGGAUCUUCGGACCUGGCGCGAGUGAAUGAGCCGAUGUUGGCUUAGGUAGUUGGCGGGUAAAAGGCCCACCAAGGCGACGAUCCUUAACUGGUCUGAGGGUAUGAACACCCACACUGGAACUGAGGCACGGUGCAGACUCCGACGGGAAGCAGCAGUGGGGAAUAUUGGGCAAUGGGCGCAAGCCUGAUCCAGCCAUACCGCGUAGGUGAAGAAGGCCUUAGGGUUGUAAAGCCCUUUUGUUGGGAAAGAAAAGCAGCAGGUUAAUACCCCGCUGUUCUGACGGUACCCAAAGAAUAAGCACCGGCUAACUUCGUG